AGUUUGAUCCUGGCUCAGGACGAACUUUGGCGGCGUGCCUAACACAUGCAAGUCGAACGGACGAGGAGGAGCUUGCUUCUCCAAGUCAGUGGCGGACGGGUGAGUAACGCGUGAGUAACCUGCCCUUCAGAGGGGGAUAACGUCUGGAAACGGACGCUAAUACCGCAUGACAUAUUUCCAUCGCAUGGUGGAGAUAUCAAAGGAGCAAUCCGCUGAAGGAUGGACUCGCGUCCGAUUAGAUAGUUGGCGGGGUAACGGCCCACCAAGUCGACGAUCGGUAGCCGGACUGAGAGGUUGAACGGCCACAUUGGGACUGAGACACGGCCCAGACUCCUACGGGAGGCAGCAGUGGGGGAUAUUGCACAAUGGGCGAAAGCCUGAUGCAGCAACGCCGCGUGAGGGAAGACGGUUUUCGGAUUGUAAACCUCUGUUCUAAGUGACGAACAAAUGACGGUAGCUUAGGAGAAAGCCCCGGCUAACUACGUGCCAGCAGCCGCGGUAAUACGUAGGGGGCAAGCGUUGUCCGGAAUUACUGGGUGUAAAGGGAGCGCAGGCGGAGAAGCAAGUCAGUGGUGAAAACGAUGGGCUUAACUCAUCGACUGCCAUUGAAACUGUUUCCCUUGAGUGAAGUAGAGGCAGGCGGAAUUCCGAGUGUAGCGGUGAAAUGCGUAGAUAUUCGGAGGAACACCAGUGGCGAAGGCGGCCUGCUGGGCUUUAACUGACGCUGAGGCUCGAAAGUGUGGGGAGCAAACAGGAUUAGAUACCCUGGUAGUCCACACUGUAAACGAUGAU
rnacentral:rRNA from 1 species